rnacentral:rRNA from 1 species
UACGUAGGGGGCAAGCGUUGUCCGGAAUCAUUGGGCGUAAAGAGCGUGUAGGCGGCCAGAUAAGUCCGCUGUGAAAUCUCGAGGCUCAACUUCGAGCUGUCGGUGGAAACUGUCUGGCUAGAGUCCGGAAGAGGAGAAUGGAAUUCCUGGUGUAGCGGUAAAAUGCGCAGAUAUCAGGAAGAACACCCGUGGCGAAGGCGGUUCUCUGGGACGGUACUGACGCUGAGACGCGAAAGCGUGGGGAGCGAACAGG